GAUGAACGCUGGCGGCGUGCCUAAUACAUGCAAGUCGAGCGGUAAGGCUCCUGCAGAUUAUUUAAGCAGUAAUUUAUUACAACCAUCUCCUGGCUAGGAGACAGGAGCUUGAAUGAUGUGCUGGAGUACACGAGCGGCGGACGGGUGAGUAACGCGUAAGAAUGUACCCCAAACUGAGGGAUAAGCACCAGAAAUGGUGUCUAAUACCGCAUGUGCUCUUCGGAGUAAAGCUUCGGCGGUUUGGGAACAGCUUGCGUAUGAUUAGCUAGUUGGUAAGGUAAUGGCUUACCAAGGCGACGAUCAUUAGCGGGUCUGAGAGGAUGAUCCGCCACACUGGGACUGAGACACGGCCCAGACUCCUACGGGAGGCAGCAGUAGGGAAUUUUCCACAAUGGGGGCAACCCUGAUGGAGCAACGCCGCGUGCAGGAUGAAGGCCCUCGGGUCGUAAACUGCUUUUGUCUGUGACGAAUAUGACGGUAGCAGACGAAUAAGGAUCGGCUAACUACGUGCCAGCCGCCGCCGUAACAC
rnacentral:rRNA from 1 species